rnacentral:lncRNA from 10 species
CUGAAACUCCUGACCUCAGGUGAUCCACCCACCUUGGCCUCCCAAAGUUCUGGGAUUACAGGCGUGAGCCACCGCUCCAGACCCAAGGGUAAUUUUUAAAUUAUUUGUAGAGACAAGGUCUCACUAUGUUGCCCAGGCUGGUCUUGAACUCUUGGGCUCGAGUGAUCCUCCCAUCUCAGCCUCCAAAAGUGCUGAGAUUACAGGCAUGAGCCACCGUGUGUGGCCUAGAAGUAGUAGGUUUGAGGAGGGAUUUUACAGGAAGAAGGAGCACGGCUU